rnacentral:rRNA from 1 species
UACGUAGGGGGCAAGCGUUGUCCGGAUUAUUGGGCGUAAAGAGCGUGUAGGCGGCCAGGUAGGUCUGCUGUGAAAACUCGAGGCUCAACCUCGAGACGUCGGCGGAAACCAUCUGGCUAGAGUCCGGAAGAGGAGAGUGGAAUUCCUGGUGUAGCGGUGAAAUGCGCAGAUAUCAGGAAGAACACCCGUGGCGAAGGCGGCUCUCUGGGACGGUACUGACGCUGAGACGCGAAAGCGUGGGGAGCGAACAGG